ACCUAUCUGACUAUCUGUUUUAUUUAACAGAAUACAAUUCAGCUAAUGAAGAGCAGAACCAAAGAACCAAAAUUCUCAUUCAAUUCCAUUGAUUUCAACUGCAGUUGGGUGAGAAUGAUCUGUGUUAGAAUUUUUAAGGUAGAAAAUCAGCACUUCCAUUUUGUCAUCAUAUUGAAAUGAGAAGGUUUACUUUUGUAUAAAGAAAACUGUACAAACCCAGUUAAGUUUGGCCUAUGUUCCACUUGGAAUAGGAAGGAGACUGGACAACAUCAUGUUUCCACAUUAUAAUUCCUCUGGUGCCCUGGCUUGCUCUAAGUCGCAGUGGAAAUAGUUCUACUGAGUUUCUAAGCUGCAGGAGAGCCUGGACAAGCUGCCCUCCCAGCACGACUAACUCCUCUGAGAGAGCCAGCAGGGAACAGAGUGCUUUAGAGCGGAUGAGUAAUGAGAAGCUUUGACAAUGAAGAUUUUGAGGCUGGGAGAAGUAAUGACACCUCCCUGGCUUCUCUCAGAGAUUCCCUCUUCUACUUUGUACUUCUCCAUCUCUGGAACUAUACAGAUGUAUUUCUGAUUUUACACCUUUCAACUGAAAGCAACAUUGGGUGGAUCUCACUUUGUGCUAGAACUCUUGCUCUCAGCCGCCUAUUCAAGAUUCUGGUUUGUGGAACCCUUUGUAAAUGAAACUUCAACCAAAAGAAAAAGGAAGAAAGAAAUUGGAAUGAUGUCAAAAUAGCAGUUCAUUUGGAGAAAGAAAAAGGAUUUUUUUUUUAAUUUUUUUUUUUUUUAGACAAGACAGUCUAGCAGCCAAUUUUGAAGCAUCUGGAAAAAUCACAGAUUUUUCAAAAAUUGAAGGUAAGUAAGUAAACAGUUGUUUGCUAGCCACGUGGGCCCCAGAUCCAGACAAGAUGUCACGGAUGUUAAUAGAUUUACCACUUGAUUUAUUUCAUAAGAAUUAAUGACUAAAGAUCUUGAAAGGAACAAAUGCAUGAACAAGAACAGUACUAACUCUGCUUGAUAGUGGACUGAUUUCAAAAACUGGUCAAUUUCCUUCCAGAAAAAAAAAAAUAAAUCAUGUCUCAUCUGAACUUGCCUUGGGAUUACACAUACCAGACAAUACUCAAAAUCAAACCAGAAUAAGCAGAAGUGAGAACACUUACAUACAAAAGUACUUGUACAGCAGCCAAAAAAUAAUGAAUGUUGUGUCCUUAACCGACUAUUUAUACUCUGAGGUACAGCCCUUUUCUUUCAAGCUUCUCAAAAUGUUUAUAAAACAACGUAAAUGGGAAAAAAAUGAAACAGGACAAGUAUAUAAUCACAUUAUAUUACAGUAAUAUUCAUUUGAGAUUUAACUGUAUCUUUAAACAGGAACAAAUAUCAUUAUUCAGACUGCUUAGAAAUAGUAGGUCAUCAUCUUUGGACAAGUUUGAUUUCUUCAUUCCACAAGUAGUAUCCCUAGUGACAAUUGGACUAAUCUUGGAAAAAAUAAAAUAUUCAGGCUCUAUCUUUUUGCAUAAUGACACAGUGCCAAAAAUAACAGUUCAGAAUAAAUAAUUGGUGCAAGAGAGUAAUUAGUAAAAAUAUCACUCAAUAUA